rnacentral:rRNA from 1 species
AGUGAACGCUGGCGGCGUGCCUAAUACAUGCAAGUCGAACGGAGUGGCGCACGGGUGAGUAAUGUAUAGCUAAUCUGCCCUACACUAGAGGACAACAGUUGGAACCGACUGCUAAUACUCUAUAGUGUAGGAUGAGGCUAUAUUGUAUCAGCUAGUUGGUGAGGUAAUGGCUCACCAAGGGUAUGACGCAUAACUGGUCUGAGUGGAUGAUCAGUCACACUGGAACGGAGACACGGUCCGGACUCCUACGGGAGGCAGCAGUAGGGAAUAGUGCUCAAGGGGGGAAACCCUGAAGCAGCAACGCCUCGUGGAGGAGUAUACGUUUCGGAGCGUAAACUCCUUUUGUUAGGGAAGCGUUACCUAACGAAUAAGCACCGGCUAACUCCGUGCCAGCAGCCGCGAUAAUUC